UACGUAGGGUGCAAGCGUUAAUCGGAAUUACUGGGCGUAAAGCGUGCGCAGGCGGUUGUGUAAGUCUGACGUGAAAUCCCCGGGCUUAACCUGGGAAUGGCGUUGGAGACUGCACGGCUAGAUUGUGUCAGAGGGGGGUAGAAUUCCACGUGUAGCAGUGAAAUGCGUAGAUAUGUGGAGGAAUACCGAUGGCGAAGGCAGCCCCCUGGGAUAACACUGACGCUCAUGCACGAAAGCGUGGGGAGCAAACAGG
rnacentral:rRNA from 1 species